GUCUAUGGCCAUACCACCCUGAACGUGCCUAAUCUUGUCUGAUCUCAUGAAGCUAAGCAGGGUUGGGCCUGGUUAGUAGUUGGAUGGGAGAAAAUAGGCAAACAGUAAGCA
rnacentral:rRNA from 1 species